UGCGCUCCAGGUUGCGUGGUAAAUGAGCGGUCAGGUGAUGCGUUUGAUUAGCGUGAACAUGGGUGCUGAGGAAGAGAAACGGAGGCUGGCCUCUGGAGGACGUAUUUCAUUUCUUUGUUCCAACUUCCAAGUGGCCUCUAGCCUCCGUUAGUCAUGAAUAAAUUAUGUUAAAAAAUGUAUAAAUUACUCAUUUUUGACAAAAAGCGAAAGAGCUGAUGUGUGCGUGCGACAUUUGAAUAAUGUUGGGCUGUAAACGGGUUCGGGCUUUUAAAAAGCUGUCAAUCAAAAUGUACUUGUCGGGCUCGGGCCGAACUUUUAACACCCAAUUACAGCUCUAGCUCUGAUCUGCGGCGAGAGUAGAGUC